AUUGAACGCUGGCGGCAGGCCUAACACAUGCAAGUCGAGCGAGCGGCGGACGGGUGAGUAAUGUAUGGGGACUGCCCGUUAGAGGGGGAUAACUACUGGAUACGGUAGCUAAUAUAGCAUAUUAUCUGAUUACCCAUAUGGGAUUAGUUAGUAGGUGGGGUAAUGGCUCACCUAGGCGACGAUCCCUAGCUGGUCUGAGAGGAUGAUCAGCCACACUGGGACUGAGACACGGCCCAGACGCAUACGGAGGCAGCAGUGGGGAAGAUGGCAGAAUGGGCGCAAACCUGAUGCAGCCAGGCCGCGAGUAUGAAGAAGGACCUAGGGGUGUAAAAUACUUUCAGUCGGGAGGCGGUACCGACAGAAGAAGCACCGGCUAACUCCGUGCCAGCAGCCGCGGUAAUUC
rnacentral:rRNA from 1 species